rnacentral:rRNA from 1 species
GACGAACGCUGGCGGCGUGCCUAAUACAUGCAAGUUGAGCGAUGAAGAUUGGUGCUUGCACCAAUUUGAAGAGCAGCGAACGGGUGAGUAACGCGUGGGGAAUCUGCCUUUGAGCGGGGGACAACAUUUGGAAACGAAUGCUAAUACCGCAUAAUAACUUUAAACAUAAGUUUUAAGUUUGAAAGAUGAAAUUGCAUCACUCAAAGAUGAUCCCGCGUUGUAUUAGCUAGUUGGUGAGGUAAAGGCUCACCAAGGCGAUGAUACAUAGCCGACCUGAGAGGGUGAUCGGCCACAUUGGGACGGAGACACGGCCCACACUCCUACAGGAGGCAGCAGUAGGGAAUCUUCGGCAAUGGACGAAAGUCUGACCGAGCAACGCCGCGUGAGUGAAGAAGGUUGUCGGAUCGUAAAACUCUGUUGGUAGAGAAGAACGUUGGUGAGAGUGGAAAGCUCAUAAAGUGACGGUAACUACCCAGAAAGGGACGGCUAACUACGUG